UUGACAAUUAUUUAUGAAUCUAUGGAUUUUAUAGAUCUUGCUGUGUUACACCGUUACACGAUCUUGUCUAUCUUCUUGCCAUCUUUUAUUAAAAACGACGUUACGUCGCCAUUUUUAAAAUUUUGAAAUUUUAUUUGCUUUUCGGUGCAUACUUUCAUUGUAUUUCGUGUUUUAAUUGUUUAAUAAUGUAGUUUAUUUGUUUUUCUUCUCAAUUUUUACAGAUUGAUGAUAAAUAAGAAUGGAAGAGUGUUCAUUUUGAUGCAACUGAAAAAAAAGCAAGUUGCCCGUCAUGGUUUCGUUUCAUUUUGGAGAAUCUUCUAAUUAAUUACGGAACAUUAAAAAAACCCUGGAUGGCAUUAAUUUACAGUGCCUUGGUUGUGUCAGUGUUCAUUCGAUUCAGAAAGUAGCUAUCCUAAAAAGAAGCACAAAAGUGCCUUUUUUCCAUUGAGAAGGGAUACAUUGUGGCAUUGAUGAAGGAAGGAUUUAUGACGAAUAAACUGAUUGUCCAAGUGAAAAGGAAGUAAUUCUGAUGGUACUGAAAGAGCUGAUGCUUUUGACGUCUUACCCUUGCAACAUAGUUUUGAACCUGUGAGGAGGAGGCAUCUGGAUAUUAAUUUGAAAACUGAAACAACGAAUAGUCUGCAGUGGUAUUCCUCCUGGAUUUGGCUUGUUCAUUCGAUCUGUGAACCUUAAAAAGAUACUUUCUGCAGUUAAUUAAGGUUAUAUAAUAAAUGGGAGAGAAUUAAAGUUCAGUUUGGUUAUACUGAAACAGCCAAUGUCUACAUGGGUGUGGUCAUGCAUGGAUUAUAUUCUUGAUUUGCUGU